rnacentral:rRNA from 1 species
UACGAAGGGGGCUAGCGUUGCUCGGAAUCACUGGGCGUAAAGCGCACGUAGGCGGCUUUCUAAGUCAGGGGUGAAAUCCUGGAGCUCAACUCCAGAACUGCCUUUGAUACUGGAGAGCUUGAGUCCGGGAGAGGUGAGUGGAACUCCGAGUGUAGAGGUGAAAUUCGUAGAUAUUCGGAAGAACACCAGUGGCGAAGGCAGCUCACUGGCCCGGUACUGACGCUGAGGUGCGAAAGCGUGGGGAGCAAC